AGAGCCUUUAAAAGGCAGUACUGUAGGGGAUGGGAAGAGAAAUGGAGAGGUUAGACUCAGAGGCACUGACAGAGGAUAAUCCUAAGGGGAACAGUUUCCUACUGUCAAUCAUCCUGGAACAAAUUUAACCCUGGGGUAUAAGCUGAGAGCUGAGGAAAAAACUGCUACCCUACUUGGAGUUUCCUGGCAGUUGAGAGUCAGACUUUUAUGAAGAGAAAGAGGUUUGAGAGGAUUUCUUCUGGAAGGAGCAUUCUAGAGGUACAAUUUGUCCAGAAGAGUAGCCCAGGGUUUUACUCAACUCUGAGAGUGACUGGUCUAGGCCCUACACUGGCUGCGGAAUGGGGUGAGGAAGCAGAACACCCACUCUCUUAGAGGCAGGGCCUCCAAUACAGGUAAAUGAACAGUACUUUUUACAGCCCAAGGCAUAACUCACAGAGCAGGAGAACAGAGAGGGCACCACGGCUUCAUCUCCACUGCACAGCCUGCCUAGGGCACCACUCCUGAGCCCUUCCUGAAGGUGCAUUGCCUGCCUCACUGUCCUUUCCCCAACAUAAAUGGACUGGCUUCUGUUCCUCCUGCUUCCAGGAGCCUAUGUGGUUCUCUGCUGGUCUCCCACACAGGAUCCUUCAAGGAGAAUUACAUUUUGUACUUCCUGUGAUGAAUUUGUUGGCAAGAACUGCAGAAAGAAUUUAGGUUCCUGUCAGCCCAAAUAUCCUGAUUUUACAUGCCAGACCAAAGAAGUAUAUACUCAUCAUUUCACUGGAGAAUAUAUCUACCAGUAUUCUAUCCUGGGCUGCCCAAGAAGAUGUGUACAAUAUAUCCGCAUCACUGAGUGGGAGAAAAAUGUGUUCCUCUGUUGUAAUUCAAGCUAUUGCAAUAGCUUGUCAGUAAAGGAUGUGCCUCCAUUCAAUCCCUUCAUAUCAGAGAAUUAAGCCUAAGAGAUUCAGCUGAUUUUCAGAGGCCUUCUCUUGACCACAUUCUGCCCCUCAUUCCUGAACAAACAUCAAGAUCCAGAAAUGCCUUCACUCUCACACCCCCCCACCCACAUUGCCUCCUGAGAGCCAAGAGGCCCAAGAGAAGUAAACUGCGGAUGGAAAGAAAUGUAGGACAACUUUGAAAUGCUGUGUGGGCCCAAGUCAGACACCUGGGCCUGGCUGGUUCCGCUGUUCUGGCUGGGGGCCAAACCCCAAGUCUAGGUGGGGGUGGGAAAGUGGAGGAGGCUGCACUGGGACACCUGGGGACAUCGAAUGGAUUACAAUAAAAAUUCUAAUGAAUA